UACGUAGGGGGCAAGCGUUGUCCGGAAUCAUUGGGCGUAAAGAGCGCGUAGGCGGCCCUGUAAGUCCGCUGUGAAAGUCGAGGGCUCAACCCUUGGAUGCCGGUGGAUACUGCAGGGCUAGAGUCCGGAAGAGGCGAGUGGAAUUCCUGGUGUAGCGGUGAAAUGCGUAGAUAUUGGGAGGAACACCAGUGGCGAAGGCGGCUCACUGGACCGGAACUGACGCUGAGGCGCGAAAGCGUGGGGAGCAAACGGG
rnacentral:rRNA from 1 species